rnacentral:rRNA from 1 species
GACAGAGGUUGCAAACGUUGUUCGGAAUUACUGGGCAUAAAGCGCACGUAGGCGGUUCGUUAAGCCAGGUGUGAAAUCCCCCGGCUCAACCGGGGAAUUGCGCCUGAUACUGGCGGGCUAGAGAUCGAUAGGGGUGAGUGGAACUCCAGGUGGAGCGGUGAAAUGCGUAGAUAUCUGGAGGAACACCGGUGGCGAAAGCGGCUCACUGGAUCGAUACUGACGCUGAGGUGCGAAAGCUAGGGUAGCAAACGGG